GGGGGCGUCAUGGUUUCGACUGGAUGUUGAAAGCCUAGACUGCAUGUAGAGGUUGAUCGGUUGGCCUCUUAAAAAAGCCGUUCAAACAAAUUAAUUGCAGACUCUAACGAGCUCGCACUUGCUGCUUAAUUGACGGCAACGUCUAUCUUCCCGACGUCCACUACGGGAGAAGGCGACACACCAGUGGACUGGCCGGAGACCGGGUGACCGGGUCAAUGGUGAGACUUAACAGGUCAAUCGGAGUGCGCCAGCCGUUGGUGAGCAAAUGCCCUCUUAAAACCAUAUCAUCAACUAAACAUGUAGACGUUUAAGUAGCAGGCAUUUAGGACAGGGGUUCGACUCCCCUCGCCUCCACCA
rnacentral:tmRNA from 1 species